CGGCUGCCGUUUGUUCCCUCCCCUCACGGCUUCAGGAUUGGCGGGUUUU
rfam:Bacterium AM6 strain AM6 2017-02-03-Sterotrophomonas_trimmed_contig_2, whole genome shotgun sequence.